UGGGGGCGUGGCGAAAUUGGUAGACGCACUGGAUUUAGGUUCCAGCGCCGCAAGGUGUAAGAGUUCGAGUCUCUUCGCCCCCACC
rnacentral:tRNA from 1 species